rnacentral:rRNA from 1 species
GAUGAACGCUGGCGGCGUGCCUAAUACAUGCAAGUCGAGCGAACAGACGAGGGUCUUGCUCCUCUGAGUUUAGCAGCGGAGGGGUGAUUAACACGUGUAUAACCUACCUAUAGGACUGGGAUGACUUUAGGAAACCCGAGCUAAUACCGGAUGAUAUAUUGAACCGGAUGGUUCAAGAGUGAAAUACGGUUUUUCGUUCGCUUAUAGAUGGAUCCGCGCCGCAUUAGCUAGUUGGUAAGGUAACUGCUUAACAAGGCAACGAUGCGUAGCCGCCCUGAGAGCGUCAUCCGCUACCCUGGCACUGAGAAACGGUCGCGACUCCUAGGCGAGGCAGCAGCACGGACUCUUACGCGAUGGGCGAAUGGCUGACGGAGCAAAGUGGCGUGAGUGAUGAAGCUGCCAGGAUGGUAGAGCGAUGUUAUCCGGGAAGAAGAAAAGCGUAAGUAACUAUGACGGUAUUGACGGUACCUAAUCAGAAAGCCACGGCUAACUACGUG